rnacentral:rRNA from 1 species
UGAGGGAAUAUUUGGGGUCAAUGGGCGGAAGCCUGAACCAGCCAAGUAGCGUGAGGGAAGACUGCCCUAUGGGUUGUAAACCUCUUUAUAAGGGAAUAAAUACGGGACGUGUCCUGUUUGCAUGUACCUUAUGAAUAAGGACCGGCUAAUUCCGUGCCAGCAGCCGCGGUAAUACGGAAGGUCCGGGCGUUAUCCGGAUUUAUUGGGUUUAAAGGGAGCGUAGGCGGGCUAUUAAGUCAGCUGUGAAAUCCGGCGGCUCAACCGUCGGCCUGCAGUUGAUACUGGUGGUCUUGAGUGCGCGCAGGGGCGUUGGAAUUCAUGGUGUAGCGGUGAAAUGCUCAGAUAUCAUGAAGAACUCCGAUCGCGAAGGCAGAUGCCCGGAGCGCAACUGACGCUGAGGCUCGAAAGUGCGGGUAUCAAACAGGGAUUAGAUACCCUGGUAGU